rnacentral:rRNA from 1 species
GUUAGGAAUAUUGGACAAUGGGCGCAAGCCUGAUCCAGCCAUGCCGCGUGAGUGAUGAAGGCCUUCGGGUUGUAAAGCUCUUUAGCCGAUGAUUAUAAUGACUGUAGUCGGAAAAUAAGCCCCGGCUAACUUCGUGCCAGCAGCCGCGGUAAUACGAAGGGGGCGAGCGUUAUUCGGAAUCACUGGGCGUAAAGCGUGCGUAGGCGGCUUUGCAAGUUGGGAGUGAAAGCCCAGGGCUCAACCCUGGAAUUGCUCUCAAAACUGCAAGGCUAGAAUUCGGGAGAGGAUAGCGGAAUUGUCAGUGUAGCAGUGAAAUGCGUAGAUAUUGACAGGAACACCAGUGGCGUAAGCGGCUAUCUGGACCGAUAUUGACGCUGAGGCACGAAAGCGUGGGGAUCAAACAGGAUUAGAAACCCGGGUAGUCC